rnacentral:rRNA from 1 species
AGUUGAUCCUGGCUCAGGAUGAACGCUAGCGGCAGGCUUAACACAUGCAAGUCGAGGGGUAUAAGUCUUCGGAUUUAGAGACCGGCGCACGGGUGCGUAACGCGUAUGCAAUCUACCUUUUACAGAGGGAUAGCCCAGAGAAAUUUGGAUUAAUACCUCAUAGCAUAGCAGCUUCGCAUGAAGCCACUAUUAAAGUCACAACGGUAAAAGAUGAGCAUGCGUCCCAUUAGCUAGUUGGUAAGGUAACGGCUUACCAAGGCUACGAUGGGUAGGGGUCCUGAGAGGGAGAUCCCCCACACUGGUACUGAGACACGGACCAGACUCCUACGGGAGGCAGCAGUGAGGAAUAUUGGACAAUGGGCGCAAGCCUGAUCCAGCCAUGCCGCGUGCAGGAUGACGGUCCUAUGGAUUGUAAACUGCUUUUAUACGAGAAGAAACACUCCUUCGUGAAGGAGCUUGACGGUAUCGUAAGAA